AGAGUUUGAUUAUGGCUCAGGAUGAACGCUAGCGGCAGGCCUAAUACAUGCAAGUCGGACGGUAAACGGUCCUUCGGGACUGUGAGAGUGGCGGACGGGUGCGUAACGCGUAUGCAACCCACCCCCGUCCCGGCGGGUAGCCGGUGGAAAACGCCGGGUAAUCCGCCAUGCGCCGCGCCAGGGGCAUCCCUGGCGCGUCAAAGCCUUCGGGCGGGACGGGACGGGCAUGCGUCCCAUUAGAUGGUAGGCGGGGUGACGGCCCACCUAGUCUGCGAUGGGUAGGGGAUCUGAGAGGACGGUCCCCCACACUGGCACUGAGACACGGGCCAGACUCCUGCGGGAGGCAGCAGUAAGGGAUAUUGGUCAAUGGUGGGAACACUGAACCAGCCAUGCCCGCGUGAGGGAAUGGGGCCCUACGGGUCGUGAACCUCUUUUGACCGGGACAAUUGCGCGGUCGCGUACCGUGCUUGAGGGUACCGGUGGAAUAAGCGCCGGCUAACUCCGUGCCAGCCGCAGC
rnacentral:rRNA from 1 species